rnacentral:rRNA from 1 species
UACGGAGGAUGCAAGCGUUAUCCGGAAUGAUUGGGCGUAAAGCGUCCGCAGGUGGCAAUGUAAGUCUGCUGUCAAAGCGUCUGGCUCAACCAGAUAAAGGCAGUGGAAACUACAUAGCUAGAGUAAGGUAGGGGUAGAGGGAAUUCCUGGUGUAGCGGUGAAAUGCGUAGAGAUCAGGAGGAACACCCGGGGCGAAGGCGGCCCUCUGGCUCGACCCUGACGCUGAGGCGCGAAAGCGUGGGGAGCGAACGGG